rnacentral:tRNA from 2 species
GGUGCCAUAGCUCAGUUGGUAGAGCAACGGACUGAAAAUCCGUGUGUCCGUGGUUCAAUUCCACGUGGCACCACAA